UACAGAGAGUGCAAACGUUGCUCGGAAUCACUGGGCGUAAAGGGUGCGUAGGCGGGUCUUUAAGUCAGGGGUGAAAUCCUGGAGCUCAACUCCAGAACUGCCUUUGAUACUGAAGAUCUUGAGUUCGGGAGAGGUGAGUGGAACUGCGAGUGUAGAGGUGAAAUUCGUAGAUAUUCGCAAGAACACCAGUGGCGAAGGCGGCUCACUGGCCCGAUACUGACGCUGAGGCACGAAAGCGUGGGGAGCAAACAGG
rnacentral:rRNA from 1 species